AUUGAACGCUGGCGGAAUGCUUUACACAUGCAAGUCGAGCGGCAGCGCGGCCUUCGGGCUGGCGGCGAGCGGCGAGCGGGUGAGUAAUGCAUCGGAACAUGCCCAGUCGUGGGGGAUAACACUUCGAAAGAAGUGCUAAUACCGCAUACGUCCUGAGGGGGAAAGCGGGGGAUCGUAAGACCUCGCGCGAUUGGAGUGGCCGAUGUCAGAUUAGCUAGUUGGUGGGGUAAAGGCCUACCAAGGCGACGAUCUGUAGCUGGUCUGAGAGGAUGAUCAGCCACACUGGGACUGAGACACGGCCCAGACUCCUACGGGAGGCAGCAGUGGGGAAUUUUGGACAAUGGGGGCAACCCUGAUCCAGCCAUUCCGCGUGAGUGAAGAAGGCCUUCGGGUUGUAAAGCUCUUUCGGCAGGAACGAAACGGUGGGCUCUAACAUAGUCCGCUAAUGACGGUACCUGAAGAAGAAGCACCGGCUAACUACGUG
rnacentral:rRNA from 1 species